GAGAGAGAGAGAGAGAGAGAGAGAGAGAGAGACUGUCGAGAGUCAGUCUGGCUUCUCUGGCCCUAUAUAAGGAGACGUUAGACGAGCCUCACUAGAUCCUGAAGACGCGAGACAGAAGUAUAAGGAGAUGCCUGGGAAGAAAACACGCACUGCAUCCACAACUCUUAGCUGUUACCGGGGGUUAGAGAGAGAGGAAGUAAUGGAAGGGAGGGAAGUGAAGGAAGUCCACGUAACACAGCAACACUCUUCCGAUCCUUCGUCAGGCAACGCCCUCCCGCGCCCCCACCACAGCCGCUGUUGCUGCGCCGCUGUCAGUGCUGCUGGGAACACCUGAGGGAGCGUUGCGCCGCGUGGUGGCGGCGAGGGGCAGCUCCAGCAGCCUUCAGCACGCCUUCAGCACUCGCUCACCACCCUUCAGCAUGGCCCCGGCAUUAGCGCACCGCAAGCAUCCUGUCGCGGCGGAAGGAUCGCUCGCCACCCUGAAGGAAAGGCUCGUUGGAAAUUCCAUUCCGGGUCACUCACCUCUGAGUCUGUCUUCCCCCCACAACCCACUGGCCGUGGGAGACUCUUACUCAGUCACGCACGACGCCCGCCCCCUCCUCCCUUCGCGACAAGACUGCGUGGACCUUGAUACACCGUCAGCAGCCCUCAUCCCCUCACGUGGUGGUGGCAGCGUGGCGCAGCACCUGGAGCCCCGCGCCGCUACGUUUACCUGUGAGGCGUUGCCAUGAAGCCCUCUGCUACAUGCCACGGUGACCAGGGAACUAUUGGGGUUUCUGUGCAAUUGUAGAUAGUAAAGCCACGUCUUUGAAGUGUUUGUGUCUUUCUUUCAUUCCCCCGUCACGUUCUACAUUCCUCCCUUCCUCCUUCCCCGUCAGAUUCCUCAAAUACUUUACACUUGUAUGUUACAGAGAAAAGUAUUAGAAGAAAGUAGAACUUGCACAUGAGACUACUGCGUCUGUGUUCAUGUCCGUACGGCCUCCUUUGGUCCAGCGAACACACGGCGUGGCGAGAAACUUUUGAGAGCUGAAGGUGGAGUCAGUGCACCUUCGUGAGGCUCGUGCAGCUGAGGUCAUUGACUGCUGCAGGUCGACCGGAGUUUGUUCCUCCUCACACACACACACACAUACACACACACAAACAUAUAUAUAUAUGCAACCCCCUUCCUCACACACACACACACACACACACACACACACACACACACACACACACACACACGCAACCCCCUACUCAA